UUUUUUUUGUAGUUUCACUGGAAUGUGAGUAGAGAUGGAUUUCUUUGUAGUAUCCUGCUUGGGGGGCUUUACUCAUUAUAGCUGUCUUUCUGGAAGAAAUUAUGGCUAAGAGAACCUUGAAUGUUGUAGAAGCCAG